GGUCAAGUGAAGAAGCGCAUACGGUGGAUGCCUUGGCAGUCAGAGGCGAUGAAAGACGUGGUAGCCUGCGAUAAGCUUCGGGGAGUCGGCAAACAGACUUUGAUCCGGAGAUCUCUGAAUGGGGAACCCACUCAGCAUAAGCUGAGUAUCUUGUACUGAAUACAUAGGUGCAAGAGGCGAACCAGGGGAACUGAAACAUCUAAGUACCCUGAGGAAAAGAAAUCAACCGAGAUUCCCUUAGUAGUGGCGAGCGAACGGGGACUAGCCCUUAAGUGGCUUUGAGAUUAGCGGAACGCUCUGGAAAGUGCGGCCAUAGUGGGUGAUAGCCCUGUACGCGAAAAUCUCUUAGUCAUGAAAUCGAGUAGGACGGAGCACGAGAAACUUUGUCUGAAUAUGGGGGACCAUCCUCCAAGGCUAAAUACUACUGACUGACCGAUAGUGAACCAGUACCGUGAGGGAAAGGCGAAAAGAACCCCGGAGAGGGGAGUGAAAUAGAACCUGAAACCGUAUGCGUACAAGCAGUGGGAGCCUACUUUGUUAGGUGACUGCGUACCUUUUGUAUAAUGGGUCAGCGACUUAUAUUCAGUGGCGAGCUUAACCGAAUAGGGAGGCGUAGCGAAAGCGAGUCUUAAUAGGGCGCUUAGUCGCUGGGUAUAGACCCGAAACCGGGCGAUCUAUCCAUGGGCAGGUUGAAGGUUAGGUAACACUGACUGGAGGACCGAACCGACUACCGUUGAAAAGUUAGCGGAUGACCUGUGGAUCGGAGUGAAAGGCUAAUCAAGCUCGGAGAUAGCUGGUUCUCCUCGAAAGCUAUUUAGGUAGCGCCUCAUGUAUCACUGUAGGGGUAGAGCACUGUUUCGGCUAGGGGGUCAUCCCGACUUACCAAACCGAUGCAAACUCCGAAUACCUACAAGUGCCGAGCAUGGGAGACACACGGCGGGUGCUAACGUCCGUCGUGAAAAGGGAAACAACCCAGACCGUCAGCUAAGGUCCCAAAGUCAUGGUUAAGUGGGAAACGAUGUGGGAAGGCUUAGACAGCUAGGAGGUUGGCUUAGAAGCAGCCACCCUUUAAAGAAAGCGUAAUAGCUCACUAGUCGAGUCGGCCUGCGCGGAAGAUGUAACGGGGCUCAAACCAUGCACCGAAGCUACGGGUAUCACUUAGGUGAUGCGGUAGAGGAGCGUUCUGUAAGCCUGUGAAGGUGAGUUGAGAAGCUUGCUGGAGGUAUCAGAAGUGCGAAUGCUGACAUGAGUAACGACAAUGGGAGUGAAAAACUCCCACGCCGAAAGACCAAGGUUUCCUGCGCAACGUUAAUCGACGCAGGGUUAGUCGGUCCCUAAGGCGAGGCUGAAAAGCGUAGUCGAUGGAAAACAGGUUAAUAUUCCUGUACUUCUAGUUAUUGCGAUGGAGGGACGGAGAAGGCUAGGCCAGCUUGGCGUUGGUUGUCCAAGUUUAAGGUGGUAGGCUGAGAUCUUAGGUAAAUCCGGGAUCUUAAGGCCGAGAGCUGAUGACGAGUUGCCAUUAGGCGACGAAGUGGUUGAUGCCAUGCUUCCAAGAAAAGCUUCUAAGCUUCAGAUAACUAGGAACCGUACCCCAAACCGACACAGGUGGUUGGGUAGAGAAUACCAAGGCGCUUGAGAGAACUCGGGUGAAGGAACUAGGCAAAAUGGCACCGUAACUUCGGGAGAAGGUGCGCCGGUGAGGGUGAAGGACUUGCUCCGUAAGCUCAUGCCGGUCGAAGAUACCAGGCCGCUGCGACUGUUUAUUAAAAACACAGCACUCUGCAAACACGAAAGUGGACGUAUAGGGUGUGACGCCUGCCCGGUGCCGGAAGGUUAAUUGAUGGGGUUAGCUAACGCGAAGCUCUUGAUCGAAGCCCCGGUAAACGGCGGCCGUAACUAUAACGGUCCUAAGGUAGCGAAAUUCCUUGUCGGGUAAGUUCCGACCUGCACGAAUGGCGUAACGAUGGCGGCGCUGUCUCCACCCGAGACUCAGUGAAAUUGAAAUCGCUGUGAAGAUGCAGUGUAUCCGCGGCUAGACGGAAAGACCCCGUGAACCUUUACUAUAGCUUUGCACUGGACUUUGAAUUUGCUUGUGUAGGAUAGGUGGGAGGCUUUGAAGCGUGGACGCCAGUUCGCGUGGAGCCAUCCUUGAAAUACCACCCUGGCAACUUUGAGGUUCUAACUCAGGUCCGUUAUCCGGAUCGAGGACAGUGUAUGGUGGGUAGUUUGACUGGGGCGGUCUCCUCCUAAAGAGUAACGGAGGAGUACGAAGGUGCGCUCAGACCGGUCGGAAAUCGGUCGUAGAGUAUAAAGGCAAAAGCGCGCUUGACUGCGAGACAGACACGUCGAGCAGGUACGAAAGUAGGUCUUAGUGAUCCGGUGGUUCUGUAUGGAAGGGCCAUCGCUCAACGGAUAAAAGGUACUCCGGGGAUAACAGGCUGAUACCGCCCAAGAGUUCAUAUCGACGGCGGUGUUUGGCACCUCGAUGUCGGCUCAUCACAUCCUGGGGCUGAAGCCGGUCCCAAGGGUAUGGCUGUUCGCCAUUUAAAGUGGUACGCGAGCUGGGUUUAGAACGUCGUGAGACAGUUCGGUCCCUAUCUGCCGUGGACGUUUGAGAUUUGAGAGGGGCUGCUCCUAGUACGAGAGGACCGGAGUGGACGAACCUCUGGUGUUCCGGUUGUCACGCCAGUGGCAUUGCCGGGUAGCUAUGUUCGGAAGAGAUAACCGCUGAAAGCAUCUAAGCGGGAAACUUGCCUCAAGAUGAGAUCUCACUGGAGCCUUGAGCUCCCUGAAGGGCCGUCGAAGACUACGACGUUGAUAGGUUGGGUGUGUAAGCGCUGUGAGGCGUUGAGCUAACCAAUACUAAUUGCCCGUGAGGCUUGACCAU
rnacentral:rRNA from 1 species